rnacentral:rRNA from 1 species
GAUGAACGCUGGCGGCGUGCCUAAUACAUGCAAGUCGAGCGAACAGAUAAGGCGCUUGCUCCUUUGACGUUAGCGGCGGACGGGUGAGUAACACGUGGGUAACCUACCUAUAAGACUGGGAUAACUUCGGGAAACCGGAGCUAAUACCGGAUAACAUUUGGAACCGCAUGGUUCUAAAGUGAAAGCUGGUUUUGCUAUCACUUAUAGAUGGACCCGCGCCGUAUUAGCUAGUUGGUAAGGUAACGGCUUACCAAGGCGACGAUACGUAGCCGACCUGAGAGGAUGAUCGGCCACACUGGAACUGAGACACGGUCCAGACUCCUACGGGAGGCAGCAGUAGGGAAUCUUCCGCAAUGGGCGAAAGCCUGACGGAGCAACGCCGCGUGAGUGAUGAAGGGUUUCGGAUCGUAAAACUCUGUUAGUAGGGAAGAACAAAAGUGUAAGUAACUGUGCACGUCUUGACGUUACCAAAUCAGAAAGCCACGGCUAACUACGUG